UGACGCUUUUGUCCGGGAAUUAUUGGGCGUAAAGGGCUCGCAGGCGGUUUCUUAAGUCUGAUGUGAAAGCCCCCGGCUCAACCGGGGAGGGUCAUUGGAAACUGGGAAACUUGAGUGCAGAAGAUGAGAGUGGAAUUCCACGUGUAGCGGUGAAAUGCGUAGAGAUGUGGAGGAACACCAUGGCGAAGGCGACUCUCUGGUCUGUAACUGACGCUGAGGAGCGAAAGCGUGGGGAGCGAACAGGAUUAGAUACCCUGGUAGUCCACGCCGUAAACGAUGAGUGCUAAGUGUUAGGGGGUUUCCGCCCCUUAGUGCUGCAGCUAACGCAUUAAGCACUCCGCCUGGGGAGUACGGUCGCAAGACUGAAACUCAAAGGAAUUGACGGGGGCCCGCACAAGCGGUGGAGCAUGUGGUUUAAUUCGAAGCAACGCGAAGAACCUUACCAGGUCUUGACAUCCUCUGACAACCCUAGAGAUAGGGCUUUCCCUUCGGGGACAGAGUGACAGGUGGUGCAUGGUUGUCGUCAGCUCGUGUCGUGAGAUGUUGGGUUAAGUCCCGCAACGAGCGCAACCCUUGAUCUUAGUUGCCAGCAUUCAGUUGGGCACUCUAAGGUGACUGCCCGGUGACAAACCGGAGGAAGGUGGGGAUGACGUCAAAUCAUCAUGCCCCUUAUGACCUGGGCUACACACGUGCUACAAUGGACAGAACAAAGGGCUGCGAGACCGCAAGGUUUAGCCAAUCCCACAAAUCUGUUCUCAGUUCGGAUCGCAGUCUGCAACUCGACUGCGUGAAGCUGGGAAUCGCCUUGUAAUUCCGCAGGAUCCAGCAUGCCCG
rnacentral:rRNA from 1 species